rnacentral:rRNA from 1 species
GAUCCUGGCUCAGGAUGAACGCUAGCUACAGGCUUAACACAUGCAAGUCGAGGGGUAGCAGGGUAGCAAUACCGCUGACGACCGGCGCACGGGUGAGUAACACGUAUCCAACCUUCCCACAACUCAGGGAUAGCCUUUCGAAAGAAAGAUUAAUACCUGAUAGUACUUUUUCAAGGCAUCUUGAGAAAGUUAAAGAUUUAUUGGUUAUGGAUGGGGAUGCGUUCCAUUAGAUAGUUGGUGAGGUAACGGCUCACCAAGUCUUCGAUGGAUAGGGGUUCUGAGAGGAAGGUCCCCCACAUUGGUACUGAGACACGGACCAAACUCCUACGGGAGGCAGCAGUGAGGAAUAUUGGUCAAUGGGCGAGAGCCUGAACCAGCCAAGUAGCGUGAAGGAUGAAGGUCCUAUGGAUUGUAAACUUCUUUUAUAGUAGAAUAAAGUGAUCCACGUGUGGAUUUUUGUAUGUAUACUAUGAAUAAGGAUCGGCUAACUCCGUGCCAGCAGCCGC